UACGUAGGGUGCGAGCGUUGUCCGGAAUUACUGGGCGUAAAGAGCUCGUAGGUGGUUUGUCGCGUUGUCCGUGAAAACUCACAGCUUAACUGUGGGCGUGCGGGCGAUACGGGCAGACUGGAGUACUGCAGGGGAGACUGGAAUUCCUGGUGUAGCGGUGGAAUGCGCAGAUAUCAGGAGGAACACCGGUGGCGAAGGCGGGUCUCUGGGCAGUAACUGACGCUGAGGAGCGAAAGCGUGGGGAGCAAACAGG
rnacentral:rRNA from 1 species